rnacentral:tRNA from 1 species
GGUGAAUUUAGGGACAGGUCUUCUAAACUUGUUUUGAGCUAGUAACUCAUUCACUU